GCCUUUGACUCGGACCCACAUUUACAUGGGGAAAGGCCAGUUCCCAUGGAUGAGGAUGUUCCAAAAGGUUGGUUUGGUGUUAUGAUGUGCAGUCCAUGUUCAUUGCAAUGCCAUGCCAAUCUUCGGGCCAUUCUUAUUCAUGUGAAUAGGGCUUUUUCCAAGUCAUUGUGGCUCCAAUUUAAAGGC